GCCGAGACGUAUUUUUCCUUGUUCCGUAUACGCUUGAGUAUAUCUUCGUUGUUAGCACCAAAAGCGUUCGACGACAUCGCCUGAUAUGAACGGGUAUCAAGUUACGGCACCGCACUGAUGGCACACCAGCAAGCAGAGCCCGCUUUGAAUGGGAAGAAUAACGUUUGCGCGUCUCUGAGUUUAACGAAAAUCUGACGAAGGGCACGAUAUAAUGUGACGCGUUUCGUUAGCUGAGCGGUGUUUGCAUGAAGUGAUAGUGUUGCAGCACAAUACUUUUUUUUGCUACACAGCUUUUACUCUGACGCAGACAACACCUGUUCCUUUUCAGGCAUAUUCCUCUAUACGCCCUUUUUUAAUACUUUCGUGGACUUAUCUCUUUCUCUAUUUUAUUACCAAGCAGGGUCUGGGCGUAUACAGACAAGAAGCAAGCAGCAAACGAGAGACUGGAAUGGAAGCCGCAAACAAGAAAGUUGCUGCAGCCCAUAUAGGGCUCCAGUGAUGAACAUGGCUGCCCAGGAAAACAUAUCUUUGUGUUGAAGCCGGUCUGUGCAUAUUUUAAUGAAGACUAUGAGGUCUGCACCUCGUUCCACACUCACAAAGCUGGCCAGACAGCUGUGGAGUGAGGGCCCCCAACACCAUGCCUCUGCUAUUGGGUCAUCACUACUACACUUCUCAGGCAUUGUUCUUCCCUUGGACAAUGACAAAACGCUAACUGCAAGGAGCGUGGAGAAAGGAUUGGCGCUUCAGCUCGGAGUGUAUUUAAACUACGAUGUGCAGUGCCUGCCACCAACGUUUCUUAUGUUACAAUCCAUGCAAUGCUAUUUUGGACACAUCAGCACUGAAAGAGGAACAAAGCACCCCAAUGGUAAUCAAGCUUAAGUAGCAUACCUGUUUGCGUUCUGUCACUCAUCUGCGAACUGGGGUAAAGUUGAAAGGAGCCAUUCCAAGCUGCUGUGCUGGAGAAAGCUACUGCACUGUACAUUUCAGUGAAUAUAUUGCUUUAUGAACACAUAA